GACGAACGCUGGCGGCGUGCCUAAUACAUGCAAGUAGAACGCUGAAGGAGGAGCUUGCUUCUCUGGAUGAGUUGCGAACGGGUGAGUAACGCGUAGGUAACCUGCCUGGUAGCGGGGGAUAACUAUUGGAAACGAUAGCUAAUACCGCAUAAUAGUAGAUGUUGCAUGACAUUUGCCUAAAAGGUGCAAUUGCAUCACUACCAGAUGGACCUGCGUUGUAUUAGCUAGUUGGUGGGGUAACGGCUCACCAAGGCGACGAUACAUAGCCGACCUGAGAGGGUGAUCGGCCACACUGGGACUGAGACACGGCCCAGACGCCUACGGGAGGCAGCAGUAGGGAAUCUUCGGCAAUGGACGGAAGUCUGACCGAGCAACGCCGCGUGAGUGAAGAAGGUUUUCGGAUCGUAAAGCUCUGUUGUAAGAGAAGAACGAGUGUGAGAGUGGAAAGUUCACACUGUGACGGUAUCUUACCAGAAAGGGACGGCUAACUACGUG
rnacentral:rRNA from 1 species